rnacentral:rRNA from 1 species
GCAUGUCUAAGUAUAAGCACUUUAUACUGUGAAACUGCGAAUGGCUCAUUAAAUCAGUUAUCGUUUAUUUGAUAGUACCUUACUACAUGGAUACCUGUGGUAAUUCUAGAGCUAAUACAUGCUAAAAACCCCGACUUCAGGAAGGGGUGUAUUUAUUAGAUAAAAAACCAACGCCCUUCGGGGCUCCUUGGUGAAUCAUAAUAACUUAACGAAUCGCAUGGCCUUGCGCCGGCGAUGGUUCAUUCAAAUUUCUGCCCUAUCAACUUUCGAUGGUAGGAUAGUGGCCUACCAUGGUGGCAACGGGUAACGGGGAAUUAGGGUUCGAUUCCGGAGAGGGAGCCUGAGAAACGGCUACCACAUCCAAGGAAGGCAGCAGGCGCGCAAAUUACCCAAUCCCGAUACGGGGAGGUAGUGACAAUAAAUACUGAUACGGGGCUCUUUUGGGUCUCGUAAUUGGAAUGAGAACAAUUUAAAUCCCUUAACGAGGAACAAUUGGAGGGCAAGUCUGGUGCCAGCAGCCGCGGUAAUUCCAGCUCCAAUAGCGUAUAUUAAAGUUGUUGCAGUUAAAAAGCUCGUAGUUGAACCUUGGCUCUGGCUGGCCGGUCCGCCUCACCGCGAGUACUGGUCCGGCUGGAGCUUUCCUUCUGGGGAACCUCAUGGCCUUCACUGGCUGUGGGGGGAACCAGGACUUUUACUGUGAAAAAAUUAGAGUGUUCAAAGCAGGCCUUUGCUCGAAUACAUUAGCAUGGAAUAAUAGAAUAGGACGUGCGGUUCUAUUUUGUUGGUUUCUAGGACCGCCGUAAUGAUUAAUAGGGAUAGUCGGGGGCGUCAGUAUUCAGCUGUCAGAGGUGAAAUUCUUGGAUUUGCUGAAGACUAACUACUGCGAAAGCAUUCGCCAAGGAUGUUUUCAUUAAUCAGGGAACGAAAGUUAGGGGAUCGAAGACGAUCAGAUACCGUCGUAGUCUUAACCAUAAACUAUGCCGACUAGGGAUCGGACGGGAUUCUAUUAUGACCCGUUCGGCACCUUACGAGAAAUCAAAGUUUUUGGGNNCUGGGGGGGAGUAUNGNNCGCA